rnacentral:rRNA from 1 species
GGGUUGUGAGGUUAAGCGACUAAGCGUACACGGUGGAUGCCCUGGCAGUCAGAGGCGAUGAAGGACGUGCUAAUCUGCGAAAAGCGUCGGUAAGGUGAUAUGAACCGUUACAGCCGGCGAUGUCCGAAUGGGGAAACCCAGUGCAAUUCGUUGCACUAUCGUUAACUGAAUACAUAGGUUAACGAGGCGAACCGGGGGAACUGAAACAUCUAAGUACCCCGAGGAAAAGAAAUCAACCGAGAUUCCCCCAGUAGCGGCGAGCGAACGGGGAGCAGCCCAGAGUCUGAAUCAGCUUGUGUGUUAGUGGAACGGUCUGGAAAGUCCGACGGUACAGGGUGAUAGUCCCGUACACCAAAAUACACAGGUUGUGAACUCGAAGAGUAGGGCGGGACACGUGGUAUCCUGUCUGAAUAUGGGGGGACCAUCCUCCAAGGCUAAAUACUCCUGACUGACCGAUAGUGAACCAGUACCGUGAGGGAAAGGCGAAAAGAACCCCGGCGAGGGGAGUGAAAAAGAACCUGAAACCGUGUACGUACAAGCAGUGGGAGCACCUUCGGGUGUGACUGCGUACCUUUUGUAUAAUGGGUCAGCGACUUAUAUUCUGUAGCAAGGUUAACCGUAUAGGGGAGCCGCAGGGAAACCGAGUCUUAACUGGGCGUUAAGUUGCAGGGUAUAGACCCGAAACCCGGUGAUCUAGCCAUGGGCAGGUUGAAGGUUGGGUAACACUAACUGGAGGACCGAACCGACUAAUGUUGAAAAAUUAGCGGAUGACUUGUGGCUGGGGGUGAAAGGCCAAUCAAACCGGGAGAUAGCUGGUUCUCCCCGAAAGCUAUUUAGGUAGCGCCUCGUGAACGCAUCUUCGGGGGUAGAGCACUGUUUCGGCUAGGGGGUCAUCCCGACUUACCAACCCGAUGCAAACUACGAAUACCGAAGAAUGUUAUCACGGGAGACACACGGCG